GCCAGCUGCAAUUGGAAGGAUUCUAUUAGGAUUUCAAGCAAUAAAACAAUUGAAGCAAAAGGUGGCUUGGAAUAAAUUGCUCCUCAUGUCCCAAACAAGCCACUGAAAAUUAAGCUAUUAGCCUUAGCCCCCUGAACCAGCCUGAAUUCAUAAAUUAAACCUAAUAUCAGGCCACUAGUACCCAAUACCAGAUCAACAUCUUUACACCUCAACUAAUGUUACAUAUAUACAAUGCCAAAGAAAGCCUCCAUCCCUCUUACUCCUAGACCUCCUUUUCUACAACAAUGAAUUGGCCAUGGAAUUAUACAGAAGGAUUCUACCUUCACGGCACACUACCUGCUGCAAC
rnacentral:misc_RNA from 1 species